AACGAACGCUGGCGGCAUGCCUAACACAUGCAAGUCGAACGAGCCCUUCGGGUCUAGUGGCGCACGGGUGCGUAACGCGUGGGAACCUGCCCUUAGGUUCGGCCUAACUCCCCGAAAGGGGUGCUAAUACCGAAUAAUGUCUUCUGCCCAAGGAUUUAUCGCCUUUGGAUGUUCCCGCGUGGGAUUAGCUGGUUGGUAGGGUAAAAGCAUACCAAGGCGACGAUUCAUAGCUGGUCUGAGAGGAUGGUCAGCCACACUGGGACUGAGACACGGCCGAGACUCCUACGGGAGGCGGCAGAGGGUAAUAGUGGACAACGGGCGAAAGGAUGAUCCAGCACUGCCGCGUGAGCGAUGAAGGCCGGAGGGUUGUAAAGCGCUUGUAACCGGGAUGAUAAUGACAGUACCGGGAGAAUAAGCCCCGGCUAACUCCGUG
rnacentral:rRNA from 1 species